UACAGAGGGUGCAAGCGUUUAAUCGGAAUUACUGGGCGUAAAGCGUGCGCAGGCGGUUUUGUAAGUCUGUCGUGAAAUCCCCGGGCUCAACCUGGGAAUUGCGAUGGAGACUGCAAGGCUAGAAUCUGGCAGAGGGGGGGUAGAAUUCCACGUGUAGCAGUGAAAUGCGUAGAGAUGUGGAGGAACACCGAUGGCGAAGGCAGCCCCCUGGGUCAAGAUUGA
rnacentral:rRNA from 1 species